AAGCUAUCUACCGCCACCAUCUGCCAGGCAUGAGUUUGACAUCGUAUUAAAUUAAUUGUUUAUCGGGGUGUGAUUCAAUUUAUUUAUUUAAUUAACCAUUUAUUAAUUAUAUUUAACACCCCAAUAGUUUACUAACAUAUUCACGUGUCUAUGUUCUGUUUGUUACGUAUUAAUGACGUAAUUAAACAAUCGAGAAUUCAAGAACGCCAUGAAGACGCAAAUCGUCGACAAAAUGAUCGAACAAAUGAAACAAAACGCCUUCGUUGGUCACGUGGGAAUACUAGAAUCACACAAAAAGAAACGUCACAAAGAAUAUUUGUUGCUUCCAAUCGAACGACGUCCAAUUCCAGUUCCGAAACCGAAUGUUCAACGAAAAUAUUCAAACACGUUUAACGGGUCCAGAAUCGCUUAUGGUGACGUCACAAAGUGUCCAGAUUUUCCUGAUGACGUCAACCAGAGCUUCAACAAUAGGUUGCUAGGGAAACGACCAUGAUGUCGUCUAUGUUUAAUUUUUUCAACUAAUUUGAUGCAAACCAAAAUUACACAGACUUUCUAUACAGUUUCAAUACAACAUGACAGCCCAUGAUACGAUUUUUAUCUCAAACUAAAACUUUCUUUAGUGAUGUCUGAAGUCAAAAAUGUAAAAAUCAUAUCAUAUAUAUAUAUGGACUACUAUGUUUGAUCCAGCAAACCCUGCGUGUUUUUUCCAUGAAACAGAUGCAGCAAAUUCAUGUUUUACGCAUCAAAGUGAAGUUGGUGACGUAAAAACGAUCAAAUAGUUUAGUUUUACCACAAUGUUUAUUGUUGAUUGCACAAGUUUGGAUUAUGGAGCAAAAAGUUUUUGCGUAAAUCACAAUGUUCAGACUGAAGUAACUUUCAAAUAAAAGUUAAAUUCCAAUGUUUAAGUUAAA